CAGCCGUAAACAAUGUGCGUUAGGUGUGUCGGUAACCACGUGUUACUGAUGCGCCGAAGAGAAAUCGUGAAACGCACCACCUGGGAAGUACGGUCGCAAGGCUGAAACUUAAAGGAAUUGGCGGGGGAGCACCACAACAGGUGGAGCCUGCGGUUUAAUCGGACUCAACGCCGGGAAGCUCACCGGAUAGGACAGACAGCAACAUGAAGGCCAAGCUGAAGACUUUGCCGGAUUAGCUGAGAGGAGGUGCAUGGCGUAGUCGUGU
rnacentral:rRNA from 1 species